rnacentral:rRNA from 1 species
UGGGAACGCGAAGAACCUUACCUAGACUUGACAUCCCCUGAAUUACCUGUAAUGAGGGAAGUCCCCUCGGGGACAGGGAGACAGGUGGUGCAUGGUUGUCGUCAGCUCGUGUCGUGAGAUGUUGGGUUAAGUCCCGCAACGAGCGCAACCCUUAUCCUUAGUUGCUACCAUUAAGUUGAGCACUCUAAAGAGACUGCCCGGGUUAACCGGGAGGAAGGUGGGGAUGACGUCAAAUCAUCAUGCCCCUUAUGUCUAGGGCCACACACGUGCUACAAUGGUGAGUACAACGAGAUGCGAACCCGCGAGGGGGAGCUAAACUCAAAAACUCAUCCCAGUUCGGAUUGCAGGCUGCAACUCGCCUGCAUGAAGCUGGAGUUGCUAGUAAUCGCGAAUCAGAAUGUCGCGGUGAAUACGUUCCCGGGUCUUGUACACACCGAGUCUUGUAC